rnacentral:rRNA from 1 species
UACGUAGGGUGCGAGCGUUAAUCGGAAUUACUGGGCGUAAAGCGUGCGCAGGCGGUUUUGUAAGCCAGGUGUGAAAUCCCCGGGCUCAACCUGGGAAUGGCAUUUGGGACUGCAAGGCUGGAGUGCGGCAGAGGAGACUGGAAUUCCUGGUGUAGCAGUGAAAUGCGUAGAUAUCAGGAGGAACACCGAUGGCGAAGGCAGGUCUCUGGGCUGACACUGACGCUCAUGCACGAAAGCGUGGGUAGCAAACAGG